rnacentral:lncRNA from 1 species
CACAGAUAAGAGGCAGCACCUCUAUUCACUGGCAAUGUCACUUUCUCCCAUUUGAGGAGAGACAUUUGUUCAAGACACUUUUUUUCUCCUCUCACUGACAAUACGUAAGGCAGAAAGUUGGUGUCUACGUUGCUGCAUGGCUGCAGAAUAGAUUGUUUCGAGAAGGUGAACUCUGGAAAGAACUGAGUGGAAAUAAGACAUAUAGGAGACCAACAAAAGGGAUCAAGAUGUCAGAUUUGAUAAGCAAUUGAUAAAGAGAUUUAGAAGUGUGGCUUUAGACCUGUGGCUCAAAUAGUGGUUUGAAAGCAGAAUCAAGGAUUAAUCAAAGUGACUUCAUCAUCUCCGUAUCAGAGACCGUUUAUAAUACUGUCCAAAGUGCUGAAUGCUUGUUAUAUGGAGGCAGAUAAUUUGAUGGAGCUACAUCUAACUUGACGUAGAGACCACAGUGUGUCACCAGAGAUUCUGGCCUCCUGAGCUGGAUGCAGAAACUGAGAGAACUUGGAGUUGACUCCCAUGGGGAGUGGGUACCUCCUCAGGAAACUCUGAAAAAGAAGAAGUAGAAAUAGUAUGAGACAAGAAACAGUCAUAUUCCAAAGAAUGAAAUACUGUUACAAAUGAUGGAUCCAGAAAAUCUUAUCUGGCAACUUGCUGUUAUUUUCAGUAAGCCUGAUGAUGAAGAAGAAAGGAAAGAA